rnacentral:lncRNA from 1 species
CCCCGCACGAGCUAGAACCUGUAUGGUUAGUGGGGUGAGAACUACUGAAAGUUCCUAGUGGGUUCGGCUGCCGACCUCGCCGACUCACCCACUAGGUUUAUUCAAGCAUAUGUAGGCAAGAAAAGAGAAUAGAUAGUAACCAGCUAUAACAUAUAACUACUACAAUGCCUGCACAAAGCUGAAAGAAACAGUAGACAAUAUCUGAAAUUGAUGCAUGCAUGCUACUAAUAACCUUUACCCAAUCCAACUGGUUAACCAUUUGGUUAACAAUAACUCACAAACUAAAUCCCAAGUAUUGAGGAGACGCAAGCUACAUCCCGACGGGAUCGUCUACUGGGGGAGACGCUAGCUCCUGAUCCAGUUGAUGCCUACUCCGGAGCUCAUCACCCAAGGAGGAGCGACCUUACCUUGGGCAUUAGACUAUUGUGAGUAUGAUCCAAUCCUCGCUUAGAGGAUACGCUGACAAUGACACUCUUUAACUAGCUUUUUAUGCUUGAUUUACUUGUCCAACUCUAGAUGCUAAUUAGUUCAUCUAGUUCUAAUGCCACACAUUUUACAAGCUCAUUGACUUUGUUUAACAUUUACAACACUCGGUGCCACUCAUGCAAUCUAUUCACAAUGUCACUUUAUUACUAUUUAAUAUUCCAGUACAAAUUCAUACAUCUAUAGGGUUCUAUGUUUACUAGUCACUGUUCACAAGUAAUUGUAUUGUCAAGUAUACAAUUAGACCACAUGUCAUAAUUAACCACAUAUCAAGCUUGACCCUAUAAUGCAUGAAUUUCAACUAAACAUAUACAAUCCAUGUAUGCUCAAGAAUGACGACAUAAACAUAGAAGGUCAUUCGAUGACUUCGGAAAGCGCCACCCACCUUUAAAUGAUGCUGGAAUGCGAGAAAUCCACUUUCCACAAUUUAUGAACCAUCCCGAUCCUCGCUCGCGACAAACGAAGCUAAAAUGAGGUUUUCCUCAUUAGCGUGCCGUAGGCUCAUCGGAAUGUCAAUUUGAACUUCCGAGCGCGUCCACUAUUCCUUCAUAGAGGAAUAAAAGAGAUUAUGUUCAGGUCAUAUUUUCAUUUUUACAAACUUUGCAUUUUAGCUCCAACUUGUAUAUAUGUAUAUAUUAUUAACAUAUACAUAUACCUAGUCUUACUAUUAAGCUUCUUAUCAAUUCCGUUCUUUAGGAGCUGAGAAUUAGGGACAAAUAAUACCAACUUCAAACAGGAUUUAGUGGGAUUUUAGCUCAGAUUUUGUCUCCCAACCACUAAUCCUAAGUACACAUAUACAUAUACAUAUACAUAUUACAUAGAGUUAGCUCCAUAGAGCCCCUAACACUUAGAAACUUCCACACUCAAGAAGUUCCUAUUUAACUUUUCUUCACAGCAGGGGGCAUCUUUCCAACCAAAAUUCAAGACCCAUUCAUUGCAAAUUUUGCUCUAACCAUCCAUCAACAUGUAUAUAUAUGUAUAUAUGUAUGCAGUUUUAUAUAGUUUCCAAGGCUUCUAUAGCACUUAUGCAUGUUAGUAAUUAAGAAUUCAUAGCCUAAAUCACCAAGAACUCACAGCCUACUUGUCACGCCCGGAUACCAGCGGAAGCAUAUCCGGUACGUGCACAGACCCGCCAUACACCUGCAGUAUAUAAGGCGUCUACGAAGAAAGCAAGUCGAUAGGAAGUAAAACAAAGAGAGUCCUAUCCUGAUAUCAGAGCAAUGUAAAAGUCGAUAUACUAUCAGUAAAAGAACAAAGAGUAUACAAUCCAAAAUUUGAGCAAAAGGAGAAGAAGUAUGAACUAUAACAUCUGGAUCUACAACUCAUAUACAACACAGGGUACACACAAACAUCUAUACAAUGGUAGUCACUCUAUACAAUGGACAUCACCCUCGGCCGUAGCCCGAGUAGCAAGGUAAUCGACUAGCACGCUCCUAGCAAAGUCUAGCUAGACGCGACUCCCUUGCCACGAUCCCUAGCCUCUCCUGUAGAUGGCUCUGUAAAAACAACCAUAAAAAGGGCGUGAGAACUAUUAACAAUAGUUCCCAGUGGGUAAGCCGCCAGCCUCGGCGAAUUACACCACUAGGCUCAUGAUGUACUAAAUGGAAAGUAAAAGCAAUAAUUGCAUGAUGCUAACAAGUAAUGAGCAUGUAAUUGCAGGAUACCUUUCUAAUGCUAAGCAAUUAAUAAGCAUAUAAACAACAUGUAAUAGCUUUCUACAGUAAUGAAUUGAACAAUAAAAGCAUAGCAGCUACUGUAAGCAUGAACAUAAAUAUGAAUGUGUAAGCAGAAACUAUACACAAUGACCGGUGAUCAUUCAUUACUGUCCAAUGUCCUUUAGCACUUUCUUUUCAUUCACAGGGACCUACCCAAGGUAGUCCAGCUUGCGCCGCGCCUAAUGGCCCCGUGGUAGUAUACACUCCCCACGGCAAUCCACUUCGGCACCCAAUCCCGCACGGGCGAGCAACUGUUGCGUAGGUCAACUCCGGAGUGCCGGCUUGUAGGGAGCGACCCUCACAAGCGUGUGCGAAUGAGCACGAUGGCAAGCAAGCAUAUUUCACAGUCCACAGGUCUCAAUUAUCAUGUUUUCAUUUGUAAUGUUCUUACCCUCGAUCCUCUGAUCGGAAUUUCAAAACACGAAUAGUAACAAGAACUAGUAUCCACUAGAUUGUAAAUAUGUAAGAGUAAUGCUAAAUCACAUGGCAUUAUAAUCUUUCCACUAUUAUGGCACUGUUAAUAUAAUCAUAAGCAUGCCAUAGUUCUUUACUUUAGAGUCAAGAGAAUGUUAUUGUUCUCUACUUUAUAAGUGCAUCCUACACUUGCUCAUAAGUCAUUCAAUUGAAUUGAAUAUAAAUAUAAAUAUAAAUACUUUCAUGUAUAUGUCUUCUCUACUUUAUAGAGAUUUCAAUUCAAUUUUACUUCUCAAGUCCUAUAUCAAACACAAAAGCUCACAACAACACCAAUUCUAUAGUACAUAUAGAUCAUAGGGGAGCUCCACUUGCUCUGGUUAGGUCCGACCCACCUAGUACUAGGCUCCAAUAGUCACAAGAAGUCCCAAUAGUCAGCUCAACAAGGUUCCAAUCCUGCUGAACACAAACAUUAACACCGCGUCAAAAUGACGACCGAAAUGUCCGAUUUCGGCCUAAUUUACACUUAGUACAAGGUAAUAGCUUGAAUCCCUGCUUUGGGCUAGUGUAAUACCUCAAGUGUAACCUCCAGGAGUCCUCACAAGUCAGUCGAAGACGAUCCAAGGCUCGAUCGCAAUCUCGCUGCGAACAACGUCAAAACGGCGUCAAAAUGCUUGUAUAUAAGCUUAUAUGGUUCAAUUCUUGCGAAAUUGAAUUUCUAACAGAAAUUCCUGCUUACCCUUGGUUAGAACAGCUUUCAAAUCAGCUUCUAAGAGUACAAGUUCAGCUCAACGAAGCUCGAAGACCUGCUGCGAAGAAAUAAUCCCCAAUUGCAUCAAGUCGCUCCAAUAGUUGCAUUUAGUUCCAAUUUAGCUUCAUAAAUGGCUAAUUCUCUCAAUUAACCUUCAAAGAAGCUUAUCCCUAGUCUAAGGAGCUUAAUUCACAGCUAAGUAAUUCAUUUUUAAUAGCUGAAUUCUCAGUUAUGUCGGUUAGAAGCAAAAACUCAAACUCAAUACUCAAAUCGACAAUUAGAAUGCCGAUAACGGAAAACAUCGAGUCGUUUAUCUUCUCAAGCUUCCAACCAGCGAACUCUUGGUUCGGGGAUGCAAAAAUCCCUCCAAAACGCUCUCUUGCAUGUGCACAAAGGCGCUGCGACGCUCGCAACCAGCGAAGAACGCGCGCGACGACGAAAACGAGCGAAAUCGGCGACUUCUUUGUAGAGAGAGAAAAACCCUAGAGAGAGAGAGAGAGAAAGAUGGGAGAACACUCCUUUGGACUCCAGCAGGCUCCACUGAGUAUCCCUGGUCGAGCUGGGGUCUUAAAGAUAGAGAUCAAGUGUGAAAUUACCGAAAUACCCAAGCUGCCACGUUUCUGCAUUGUGUACCGGUACAAGCUAAUGGCUGUACCGGUACAGCAAGCAGAAAAAGCUGGUUUUCGCCCGAGCAAUGCACUUUCUUGCUUCUAGCCUUCCAAGCACUCUUUAACUUAUUCAAAAACUUGUUCAAGUCCUAUAGAACAUGUAGAAGAGUUCCACACAUCAUUCCUCGCACUCGAAUUUCGCAAUUUGUAAAAAUUCAGUAUAUUACAUUUCACCCCUCUUAAAAAGGAGUUUCGUCCGCGAAACUUUAGAUAAUUACCUUAAGGUUCAGUCGAGAAAAGAUAGUGGUAGUGCUCUCGCAUUGCACUUUCCAGUUUCCAAGUGGCUUCCCGUUCAUCGUGAUUGCUCCACAGUAUCUUCACGUAAGGUAUUUCGCGAUUUCGAAGCCGUUUCACCUCUCGAGCUAAUAUUUUCACUGGAUGCUCCUCAAAGCUCAAAUCUUCUUGUAAAUCCACUGGAGUACGUCCCAAUAUGUGGGUUGGAUCAAAAACAUACUUUCGCAGUGUAGAGACAUGAAACACAUUGUGCACUCCCGAUAAGUUUGGCGGCAAGGCAAGCCGAACGCUACGGGGCCGAUCCGCUCCAACACCUCGUAGGGUCCGAUAUAUCGAGGACUCAGCUUCCCUCCUAUGCCAAAUCUCUUAACUCUUUUCGUUGGUGAUACUUUCAGGAAUACAUGAUCGCCAACCUGAAAUUCCAGUUCUCGCCGACGUUUAUCCACAUAACUCUUUUGUCGACUUUGUGCUGUCAGUAGACGUUCUCGUGCCAGUCGAACUUUAGCUUCAGUUUCGUGCAGUAUAUCUGGACCCAAAACUAAUCUUUCUCCCACUUCGCUCCAAUGAAGUGGUGAUCUGCACUUUCUACCAUAAAGGGCUUCAAAAGGUGCCAUCUGAAUACUUGCUUGAUAACUAUUGUUAUAAGCAAAUUCAGCCAUCGGCAGGAACUGUGGCCAACUGCCCUGGUAAUCAAUCACACAGGCCCUCAACAUAUCCUCAAAGGUCUGGAUAGUACGUUCGGACUUCCCAUCACUCUGGGGGUGGAAAGCAGUACUAAAAUCCAAUCGAGUACCCAUGGCCUCCUGUAAACUCUUCCAGAAAUGUGAAACGAAUCGGGUGUCUCGAUCUGAAACAAUCGAAGCAGGUACUCCGUGUAAACGCACAAUUUCAUCAAGAUACACUUGUGCGAGUCUCUCCGCCGACCAGACUGUAUGAAUCGGAAUAAAGUGGUCAGAUUUGGUCAAUCUAUCAACAAUUACCCAGAUUGUGUCGUGACCUGCUUGUGAGCGAGGUAAUCCCACGAUAAAAUCCAUAGUGAUCCUCUCCCACUUCCACACUAGUAUGGGUAAGCUCUGAAGUUUUCCCGCAGGAAGUCGAUGCUCAGCCUUAACCUGCUGACAGGUUAAGCAUCUGGCCACAAAAUCUGCAAUUUCCUUUUUCAUUCCAAGCCACCAGUAAUUCAGCUUCAAAUCUUUAUACAUUUUCGUACUCCUAGGGUGUAAAGCAUACGGCGCCCGAUGUGUUUCUGUUAGAAUCUCUUCCUUAAUACCAGGAUCCGCCGGUACACAAACUCUAUCCCCGAUUGGAGAACCCAGAACGGUGGUGGGUUUUACGAAUUCGGCCCAAUUCUCAAAUCAGGAUAAUAUAGAGUAUAUAUCCUGAUAGAUCCCAGAGUGUCAACGUUUCAAAUAUGUCUAGUAUUUUCGAAUUUCAUAGACAAAUGAGUUUUUCUUAAUUUGUACUCUGUUGCAUCUACCAACCUCAACGAGUUCCUAAUACUAAACUGAUAGGAGAUAGUAGGCCGUUUUCGAUUACAACAUCGUCUACGAAAUUCAGCUUUUAGCUGCCUUUUAAACCGCUACAGCUAUUGAAACGUUGGUAACAACCAUUUCCUUUACCUCGUUAACUUCAACCUUCAACAUCGAGGAUUGUGCGGAACCUCGGAAUACAGCAAUCACCACGUUGGAUGGGACUAGCUAGCUUAAUUUCUUUUCGUUCGAGUUCUACUUAAAAACGUUUUCGAAGUUCGUUUUUAGUGAUAACUAAUACAACCACUAAAAGCUCACCUACUAGUCCCUGACAACUUUANNNNNNNNNNNNNNNNNNNNNNNNNNNNNNNNNNNNNNNNNNNNNNNNNNNNNNNNNNNNNNNNNNNNNNNNNNNNNNNNNNNNNNNNNNNNNNNNNNNNNNNNNNNNNNNNNNNNNNNNNNNNNNNNNNNNNNNNNNNNNNNNNNNNNNNNNNNNNNNNNNNNNNNNNNNNNNNNNNNNNNNNNNNNNNNNNNNNNNNNNNNNNNNNNNNNNNNNNNNNNNNNNNNNNNNNNNNNNNNNNNNNNNNNNNNNNNNNNNNNNNNNNNNNNNNNNNNNNNNNNNNNNNNNNNNNNNNNNNNNNNNNNNNNNNNNNNNNNNNNNNNNNNNNNNNNNNNNNNNNNNNNNNNNNNNNNNNNNNNNNNNNNNNNNNNNNNNNNNNNNNNNNNNNNNNNNNNNNNNNNNNNNNNNNNNNNNNNNNNNNNNNNNNNNNNNNNNNNNNNNNNNNNNNNNNNNNNNNNNNCUAAACUCUUAACCCGGCUUAAGCAUUUUGGGUGGUGGCAAGACCCAAGAGGUUAAGAGAGUUAAGCGUGCUAGGACGGGAGUAGUCCUAGGAUGGGUGACCCCCUGGGAAGUUGGGGCGUCUCAGCAACGCUCGCCGUAGAGGUAGUGGCGCCAAAGCUUUAAAGCAAAUACCACAGCUGCCAAUUCCAGAUCAUGUGUAGGGUAGUUCUUUUCAUAAUCCUUCAACUGGCGAGAUGCAUAAGCAAUUACUCUGCCAUUCUGCAUUAAAACACACCCUAACCCAUUCAGCGACGCAUCGCUGUAAAUUACAUAAUCCAUUCCAGUAACCGGCAGUGCUAGAAUCGGGGCGGUAGUUAAUCAUUUUUUCAGCUCCUGAAAGCUUCUUUCACAUGCUUCACUCCACAGAAACUUAGCUCCUUUAUGUGUGAGUCGAGUGAGAGGGGUAGACAUCUUCGCGAAUCCUUCUACAAAAUCUUUGGUAGUAUCCCGCCAAACCAAGGAAACUCCGAAUCUCUGUCACGCUGGUCGGCCUGGGCCAAUCCGUAAUUGCUUCAAUCUUCUUUGGGUCCACAGCUAUCCCAGUUUCUGAAAUCACAUGGCCCAGAAAUGCCACUUCUCGAAGCCAAAAUUCGCAUUUCUUUAGCUUUGCAAAUAGUUCCUUUUCUCGAAGUACUUGUAACACCACUCUCAAAUGGUUUUCAUGCUCCUCAUCGCUUCGAGAAUAGAUCAAGAUAUCAUCGAUGAAGACGACCACAAACCUGUCCAGAUAGGGUUUAAAGAUAUGGUUCAUUAAAUCCAUAAAGGCUGCUGGGGCAUUUGUUAAUCCGAAUGGCAUGACUGUAAAUUCAUAAUGCCCAUACCGUGUCCUAAAGGCGGUCUUAGAGACAUCUUCAGGCUUGAUCUUAAGCUGAUGAUACCCAGAUUGCAAAUCAAUCUUGGAGUAUACUUUCGAUCCUUGCAGCUGAUCGAAUAAGUCAUCAAUUCUGGGCAAUGGAUAUUUAUUCUUGAUUGUGACUUUGUUGAUUUCUCGAUAAUCCACGCACAAUCGAAGAGAUCCAUCCUUUUUCUUGACAAAUAACACCGGUGCUCCCCAGGGCGAUACACUGGGUCAAAUGAAUCCUUUAUCUAACAGUUCUUGUAACUGUGCUUUCAGCUCUUUCAAUUCAGCGGGUGCCAUCCUAUAAGGCGCUUUAGAAAUAGGGGUAGUCCCAGGAACAAGAUCAAUCACAAACUCAACUUCCCUAUCAGGUGGCAUGCCCGGCAAUUCAGCUGGAAACACAUCCCCGAAUUCUCGCACAACCGGGAUAUCAUCAAUCUUGACGGCUUUUCCGUCACUCACAGAAAUGCUAGCCAAAUAUGCUACACAACCUCUCCGUAUCAACUGUCGUGCUCUCGACGAGCUAAUAGUCAUUGCGAACAAUGAACUCUGACACCCCUUAUAAACAAACUCUUGCUGACCUAGUUCCCUAAAGGUUACUGUUCUGUUCGUGCAAUCUAUAGUGGCAUAAUACUGUGUCAACCAAUCCAUACCCAAUACUACAUCAAACUCUCCUAGUUUGUGUAGUGCUAAUAAGUCUACUGGCAUAAUCCAGUCGCCUACCCUGACUGGGCAGCGAGGGCAAUACUCACAAAUAUCCAGGGUAUGGUUGGGCACGAUCACUCGUCCCGGAUACAAAGUAGGUACUAACCGUAUGCUAUGCAACUCGGCAAACAGCCGAUCAAUAAAGGAAUGUGAGGCACCAGUAUCAAAUAAUGCACGAACACGAACAUCAUGAAUCAAAAUAAUACCUGCUACGACCUCCUAUGCUGCUGCGGCGCCCUCAGUCUGAGCGGCAUACAUCCGCCCACUUGAACCCUGCUGCGAACUCUCCGACUGCCGCUGUCCUGGUGGUCGCCUAGACUGAUAGGGUGCUGUCAGGGUCCCCUGGCUCGGAGCUGAAGAUGCAGGUGCAGAAGCUGACGAGGGUGCAGGCAAAGAACCUCUCGGGCACUCUGAGCGAAAGUGGCCCUCCUGACCGCAGAGAAAACACCUGCCCCCACGUUGUGGACACUGUGGCGGCACGUGAGGCCCACCACAGAUAACACAACGCGGCGGUCGACGACGCUCAGGUGCUCCACGGGGGGCUGCUGAAGAACCUCGACCCCUCGACUGACCUGACUGGCCCCUCGGAUACUUUGGUGGCUUUCUGAAGGAUUGCUGACCACUGCUCUCAACUGCCGGUCUUUUUCCUUUUCUUCGAUCCACAAUAUCCCUUUCCUUCAUAAUUUCUGCCCCCUUCUCAACAAUCAAGGCCCGGUUCACUACAUCCCUAUAAGUAGAGAGGUUUGACGCCUGGACCAAUCUGAAAAUCGCAGGUCGCAAACCCACCUCAAAGAUACGAGCCUUGUCCUCAUCAUCUCUAACCACAAAAGGAACACAGUGCAGUAAUCGUGAGAACUCUCGCUCGUACUCAGCCACUGUCCUGUCCCCCUGUCUCAAGUUUCUCAAAUCCCUUUCCAUUUGUCUCUUUACACUCUGAGGAAAAUAGUAGUCAACAGUAAUUCCUUGAACCUCGUCCAGGUGAUAGCGGACAAAUCAGCACGGGGGUCCUUACGGAUAUCCACCCACCAUCUGUAAGCCUCGCCAUCAAGGUGGUGUGUCGCAAACCAAACUCGGUACCGCUCCUCAACAAAGGUAUCAUAAAAUAACUUCUCCAUAUGCAUCAGCCAUUUUUCAACCACCCAAUGAUCGGCUUUUUCCCCGUCAAAGAUACGAGGGUUGCAGCGACGGAAUUCAUUUAGUCGCUCCAUCAUCCGCUCUCGCACCUCAACCCCCACCAUCUCAGGUAACACUGUCCCUGCUGCAGGCACUGGUGCUGCUCGUGGCACUACUGUCUCCUGUCGGGGCUCUACCCUCAGGGCUACUGGGGGUGUAUCUGGUACAGAUGACUGUGCUCUCGCAGUCGUGUCCUUCUCUGGCGCUGUAGGUAUAGAAUCUGGAAUCUCUUUGUCGGCCGUCUGCCGCAGUAACAGACCUCUAACCUCUUUAUCCUGUCCUCCUGUCGACGCGCAGCGUCCAUCUGCUGUCGCGCUGCCGAUGCCUGCCGUGUCACUAGCUGAGUCAACACUGCGAGCUGUUCCUGUAACUCCCUGACCUCACUGGACCCCGAAGUGACGGAAGUCUCUACUUCUUCCGCAGCGGCCGCCUAAGCCGCCCCGGCGGUCCCAGAACGAGUCGUAGGCAUCUUGAGCUGCAGCACAAAAUGAAUAUAGAUUAAUAAAACCUAUACUAUUGACCCUUUACUUCAGAUAAAAAAAAAAUCAGCUAAUUAGCGAAAGUAAUGAGAUGUAACGCAUACUAACUUCCGAUGUUACGUUGUCGGCCGCCAACGUGACCCUCUGCAAAGUUAGUAAUUGCACAUCCCAAUCAAACUCCUACUAGUCGGAGUUUAUAAAUACCCAAUAAAAAUACUUUCGCUAACCACAACCUCGACUAGACGUCGUCUCUUACGAGCCUAUCCUUAUAGUCCAACCAGCUUAAGGUUUGCUAGGUCUACGAAGACUCAACCCUAGGCUCUGACACCACUAUAAUCUGUCACACCCGGGUACCAGCGGAAGCAUAUCAGGUACGUGCACAGACCCGCCAUACACCUGCAGUAUAUAAGGCGUCUACGAAGAAAGCAAGUCGAUAGGAAGUAAAACAAAGAGAGUCCUAUCCUGAUAUCAGAGCAAUGUACAAGUCGAUAUACUAUCAGUAAAAGAACAAAGAGUAUACAAUCCAAAAUCUCAGCAAAAGGAGAAGAAGUAUGAACUAUAACAUCUGGAUCUACAACUCAUAUACAACACAGGGUACACAAAAACAUCUAUACAAUGGUAGUCACUCUAUACAAUGGACAUCACCCUCGGCCGUAGCCCGAGUAGCAAGGUGAUCGACUAGCACGCUCCUAGCAAAGUCUAGCUAGACGCGACUCCCUUGCCACGAUCCCUAGCCUCUCCUGUAGAUGGCUCUGUAAAAACAACCAUAGAAAAGGGCGUGAGAACUAUUAACAAUAGUUCCCAGUGGGUAAGCCGUCAGCCUCGGCGAAUUACACCACUAGGCUCAUGAUGUAUUAAAUGGAAAGUAAAAGCAAUAAUUGCAUGAUGCUAACAAGUAAUGAGUAUGUAAUUGCAGGAUACCUUUCUAAUGCUAAGCAAUUAAUAAGCAUGUAAACAACAUGUAAUAGCUUUCUACAGUAAUGAAUUGAACAAUAAAAGCAUAGCAGCUACUGUAAGCAUGAACAUAAAUAUGAAUGUGUAAGCAGAAACUAUACACAAUGACCGGUGAUCAUUCAUUACUGUCCAAUAUCCUUUAGCACUUUCUUUUCAUUCACAGGGACCUACCCAAGGUAGUCCAGCUUGCGCCGCGCCUAAUGGCCCCGUGGUAGUAUACACUCCCCACGGCAAUCCACUUCGGCACCCAAUCCCGCACGGGCGAGCAACUGUCGCGUAGGCCAACUCCGGAGUGCCGGCUUGUAGGGAGCGACCCUCACAAGCGUGUGCGAAUGAGCACGAUGGCAAGCAAGCAUAUUUCACAGUCCACAGGUCUCAAUUAUCAUGCUUUCAUUUGUAAUGUUCUUACCCUCGAUCCUCUGAUCGGAAUUUCAAUACACGAAUAGUAACAAGAACUAGUAUCCACUAGAUUGUAAACAUGUAAGAGUAAUGUUAAAUCACAUGGCAUUAUAAUCUUUCCACUAUUAUGGCACUGUUAAUAUAAUCAUAAGCAUGUCAUAGUUCUCUACUUUAGAGUCAAGAGAAUGUCAUUGUUCUCUACUUUAUAAGUGCAUCCUACACUUGUUCAUAAGUCAUUCAACUGAAUUGAAUAUAAAUAUAAAUACUUUCAUGUAUAUGUGUUCUCUACUUUAUAGAGAUUUCAAUUCAAUUUUACUUCUCAAGUCCUAUAUCAAACACAAAAGCUCACAACAACACCAAUUCUAUAGUACAUAUAGAUCAUAGGGGAGCUCCACUUGCUCUGGUUAGGUCCGACCCACCUAGUACUAGGCUCCAAUAGUCACAAGAAGUCCCAAUAGUCAGCUCAACAAGGCUCCAAUCCUGCUGAACACAAACAUUAACACCGCAUCAAAAUGACGACCGAAAUGUCCGAUUUCGGCCUAAUUUACACUUAGUACAAGGUAAUAGCUUGAAUCCCUGCUUUGGGCUAGUGUAAUACCUCAAGUGUAACCUCCAAGAGUCCUCACAAGUCAGUCGAAGACGAUCCAAGGCUCGAUCGCAAUCUCGCUGCGAACAACGUCAAAACGGCGUCAAAAUGCUUGUAUAUAAGCUUAUAUGGUUCAAUUCUUGCGAAAUUGAAUUUCUAACAGAAAUUCCUGCUUACCCUUGGUUAGAACAGCUUUCAAAUCAGCUUCUAAGAGUACAAGUUCAGCUCAACGAAGCUCGAAGACCUGCUGCGAAGAAAUAAUCCCCAAUUGCAUCAAGUCGCUCCAAUAAUUUGCAUUUAGUUCCAAUUUAGCUUCAUAAAUGGCUAAUUCUCUCAAUUAACCUUCAAAGAAGCUUAUCCCUAGUCUAAGGAGCUUAAUUCACAGCUAAGUAAUUCAUUUUUAAUAGCUGAAUUCUCAGUUACGUCGGUUAGAAGCAAAAACUCAAACUCAAUACUCAAAUCGACAAUUAGAAUGCCGAUAACGGAAAACAUCGAGUCGUUUACCUUCUCAAGCUUCCAACCAGCGAACUCUUGGUUCGGGGAUGCAAAAAUCCCUCCAAAACGCUCUCUUGCACGUGCACAAAGGCGCUGCGACGCUCGCAACCAGCGAAGAACGCGCGCGACGACGAAAACGAGCGAAAUCGGCGACUUCUUUGUAGAGAGAGAAAAACCCUAGAGAGAGAGAGAGAGAAAGAUGGGAGAACACUCCUUUGGACUCCAGCAGGCUCCACUGAGUAUCCCUGGUCGAGCUGGGGUCUUAAAGAUAGAGAUCAAGUGUGAAAUUACCGAAAUACCCAAGCUGCCACGUUUCUGCAUUGUGUACCGGUACAAGCUAAUGGCUGUACCGGUACAGCAAGCAAAAAAAGCUGGUUUUCGCCCGAGCAAUGCACUUUCUUGCUUCUAACCUUCCAAGCACUCUUUAACUUAUUCAAAAACUUGUCCAUGUCCUAUAAAACAUGUAGAAGAGUUCCACACAUCAUUCCUCGCACUCGAAUUUCGCAAUUUGCAAAAAUUCAGUGUAUUACACUACUCCCUCUCUAAAUUAAAUACCACAUCCUUAAACAGGGAAGAAGCUCAACAUGUCUCAGGUUAUUUGUCUUAUAUGGAUACAAUUGACAUGUAACUUACUUUCAUGCUUAAUGGAUUCCAAGGGCUCUAACAUUAAAAUCUGAAAGUUAAUCAUUUUUUAGAACCUUAAUAUGCAACAUCUAAACCAGGAACAAGCAUAAUCCAUCUCAGAUUUUACUCUAAUCAUUCAUUCAAAUGUACAUUUAUAUGCAUAUAUGCUGUCCCUGCAGAAUUUCUCAGCUCCAUACACUAUUAUACCCACUUUAGCAAUCUAGAACUCUUUCGAAGCAAACAAUAUGUAAGGUACCGGACUUCUAAAACUAUGAAGUUACGGUGUACAUUUAAAUGGUUCCGGUGAGGUUGCGGUGGAAUGUAACAUACCGGAUUUUGAGUAUAAAGGUGAAAAUAAAUAAAAAUAGUGUGAUAUACUAUUUUAUUGGGUUUGGAGAAGUGAAAUAUAAAUUGAAAAUAAUCUGUGCUGAAAUCGGAGCGAAAACAGAAGAUUUAGAAUUUUCUGUGAGAAACGGGACAAAUAAAUUAGCAGAAAAUGUAUAGUGUCAAAAAAUUAUGAAAACUGGAGGAUAUGUCAGAAAUAUUUUUAUGAGGCUAGAUUUAAAGUUUCAUACCAUUCUGACACCUGUAGAGUGAGAAAUAAAAUCCGACAGUUAUCUGAUUAAGAUUACAGUUCGGCACAGUUUUCGAUGACCAAACGGGGUUGAAACUGAAAACUUAAGAUAUAUUCUUACUCAGUACGUUAAACUGAGCCUGCCUGUCAAAUUUGAGAGCAAACGGAUGUUCAGAAGAGCUCCAACGACUCCGAACUGCUAAACUGCUGCCCGAGGUGAAUAGUGUAAAGUUGCGGGACAGAUUUGUAAAAAAAAGGAUUAAAUCCCUUUCUUCUUCUUCCUCCCAGCCGAACACAACCCGCACACACACACAACACACACGCAUGGAAAGGAAAAGAGAGAACUUUCCUUUCUCUCUCUAAAUCUCUCCCAAAAUCAAAGGAAUUGGUGGAGAUUGAAGUUUGGAGUUGAAUCGUCUUCAUCUUCUUCAUCUUCUCUAUGGUUUGGAGCUAAUUUUGAGGUGAGCUUCUUGAACCCUCUCAUGGUAGAUCUCUAGGAUUAGCUUUAUAUGCUCUAGAGAUGGAUUUAGUAGAAUGCUUAGAUGCUAAUUAGAGGUUUAUUGCUUGAUUCAUGAAGUUAAGUAGUGGAUUUAGCUAUAAUGGCAUCUAGGGCUUCAAAAAUGGCUUUUUUGCUAAUAGUAGGGUUUGAUCUCAUUUGACCAUCCGUAAACCUAAUUGUUAGGUAAACAAAUGCGUUGGCGAAGACGGUUCGACGAUUCGUCGAGCCGGUGCGAAGUUAUUAAAGAAACGGACGUUUAGGCUUCGUUUCCGCCUGGAGGGCUGAGGCGACGUCGUAAAAUCAUGGAAUCGGUUUGAGGCACCGUAACAACAAAAUGAAGACCCUCUUUGCCCGAGGAUGCGAAGCAAUGCGCGGUUGGUGCGCAAUUGCAAGUUCCGACGGAACCGAGCACCGGAUGCCGCGGGAGGCCGAUUGCAAGUGUCGACAAGCAAUCGGAAUGCACUAACAGGUGGGUUGUGCUUACCGAAGCGACUAGGUCGCCCUCAUGUCGAAGAAAAAUAUGAUUUCCUAGUUGAUGCAUAUAAUGGGUUAAAUGCUAUAUGAUGCAUGUGAUGUGAAGAUUGGGUAAAUGCAUAUAAUGUGAGAAAUGUAUAUUACAUGAUAAUUGCAUUGAAUAUAAUGCAUGUUAGUGGACAAUGGCAAAUUAAUAUAACAAAUGUUAGAGAGAUGCAUGAACUAAAUGUUAGAGAGAUGCGUGAAAAUGGUGUUGUAUGAAUGCAUAGGCUAUAUUAUGCAAGUUGGAACAUAUGCAUGUUAAUGUAUUUGUGGACUAUGUUGAGUAACAUAUGCUAAUUAACAUAUGCAUGUUGACUUGGGUCUAAAACUCUUGGAUGAUUAGAAAACUCGACAUUGGAAAUACAANUGUUUAACACAAUGACCCAGCCCAAACUGGGCAUUUUCGGGUGCUGGGACGGGUCCCAGGCAGUGAGAGACCGGUCCCCGAAAGGCCAGAAUUUCUGCAUUCCAGACUUAGCCAAAUUUUCAGCAUUUUCAGCCUUCGGGUCCGUUUUUUUCGCUCGUUUUCGCUCGUUUGACCUCCGAUUCGUUUCAAAUCGAACCGCGACUUUCCAAACAUGUUUUCGAACAUGUUUUCAUCAUCUUUUCAUCCAUGCCCUUGCUAGAUUUAGUCCAUGGUCCAUCAUAGCCUUUCAGGCUCCGUUUUCGCGCCCUACGCGCAUUGAAGCAACCGAAUGCUUCCGAACUUCACCGUAACCAUUCUAACGGCUUUCCAUGCUAACAUACACCAUAACUUCAUAAUUACAGAAGUUUGGUAUGUUACAUUCUCCAUCCCUUAAAAAGAGUUUCGUCCGCGAAACUCAGAUCCAAACCACAAUUCCUCUCAUCAAACAGAUGAGGACAAAUCCACGCACUACGGCUAGAGUGUCCUAGGAUUUCACUCUAUGCGUUCAUUUCGACGAUCAUCUAUCUACAGAACCACAUCGUUCUGUAAUGUCCUCUCUUCAUGAGUCCAGAAUGCACAUCACUUGGCUUUCCUAAGUCACUUUCUCAAGUAAUGGUGCAUUCCCCCAGUCUCGGCGGUAAUACUGGCUUACAAGUCACCGUAACCACACACUCCAAUCCUCAUAGGGUUCACUGUACCGAGAACUAACCUUUCCUCGACACGAACCCAAUCACCCCACAUGGGUGACACUGUCACCAAAUGUCAUAUCUAACCGCGAAUUCACGACUUCGCCGGCGCCUAACAGCACAAUUUAGCUAUCGCAAUUGUGCACGGUGAACCUUCUUCUCUUCCCAAUCCUAGAGCGACUCUUUCGCUCACCAUAUUCUAACGGAUAGGGACCGACCUACCCUUCCAGUGAAAGUCUCAAGUACCAUCGCCAUAUUAUUACUGGCACACUUUCCCAACCUCACAGUUAAGCACCUAGGCUUUAAACUCAUCUUGUCACCCUCGACUAACCAUCAUCCCGAGGAUGAAAUGCGGUACAUAAUUAGCAUACCGUUUACCUUUCAAAUUUCCACCAGUUCAAUUAAUAGUGCGAAUCGAUAUCCAACGAUUCACCAUAUUCCAAUACCAAUCCCGAUCGAUCACACGAGGGACUUAUUUCGCCUCAAUUGCCACACUAGCUCAACUCUUUUCGGUUGGCACAUUUCAACAUGGGCGCUCUUAAUUGCCUCUUACCAUUCAACCAAUCAUUGCCCGCACACUCUACUCGUCGGGCCAGGGUCGUCAUUAAUCACCCUCACUAAACGACGUCAACCGCCAGACACCACUCUCCUUCGAGAGCAAUACCACCUAUCGAUUCGAGUGGUUAACCGUCACUUCUCAUACAUACAGGUAGACCUCCUCGAUCCACACGAGAGUCCACCAAAUGGUAUUCUACCAUUAUCGCCACUCAAGAGUCUAUCUCGCCAAGUAUGACUCUUUAUUACAUCCACACUCUCCGGUGAACCUCACUCAGGUUCUUCAAUCUGCAUCACUUCACACGACAUUUAUAGUGCAUCGCUCAACCGCGGAUGCUCCAACCGCACAUGGACUUCGGCUCUACAGUGAGACGGCUCAUUUCGGCACAUCCACCAACUUUGGUUCCCUAAGAGCCCAGUCUUUCCAAACCUCACGUGGCUUAAACCACCCCAACGUCUAUUGGAGAACAUCUCCAUUUCUCUAUCACGUCCCAACAUCGCAUCACUUUCACGAUGAGUUCCCGCGAACACUUCGUUCGAGCAUCCAAUCUUAACUCACCGACAACGCCAGACUUGGCGAUCCCAACUUGCGAGCAGUAUGACCGAGCCUCCGCUCCAAUGGUCACUACGCUCAAACCACCAAGACCCUAUCGAUCAAUUAGAUCGCUUAUCUUAAUUACCACAGGUGGUCCAUAGACCAACCAUCCAACGUAGGCUUACCGCCAACCCGUCUCGAUACUAUGCAGCGUCUCUCAUUCGCAACGCAGACCCAAGCAUCACUUGGCGAAAGUCCUCAUUUGAGACUUCGCACACACUCCAAUCAGGAGACCUCAACCACUCCAUAUCUUUGGGUCAUAAUUACACUUACGACUCAUUAUAACGAGCCAUGUUCACCUCUAUUGGCAGUUAAACAUCUAAGCCCUCUCAAUUUUCAUAAUUAUAAACAGCCCUUACUGGGCCAUUCCUGCAGUCGAGGACCAGUCUCUCCCCGAUGCAACCGGUCUCACGGGGACCGGUCCCUCGCCGAAGAACUGGUUCCCGAGAGCUUGAUUUCCAGGACUUAGCCGAUUUUUCUCCUCUGUUCGGCUGCUGCGCGCACGGGGACCGGUCUCUCCCCGCAGGGACCGGUCCCCGAGAGCCCAAAUUCUGGAACUUCACCAGAAUUGCAGUUUCGCUCUCUCGGGUCCCCAUACACCAUAAGUAUAGGCUCCAAAGCACUCUUAGCCUACACCAACUCAUUCCAUUCCGCGUUCCGCUCGUUUCGACGGAACUCGGCACAACAUAUAGGGAUGUGAUACGCUACACUUGUACCUUAUACUUGAGCUCUUAUGCUUACGAUACACACGCAUGAAUUUUCCUCAGCAUUGUUGAGGUACCACUCGGCCACUCGCCAAAACUCGGCGAUUGCUCAACUAUCUCCACCACAACGGGGACGUUACAACCACCAGUCGAGCCCUGGGAACAUCACCCGAACUCUUGAACCGCAGGGUCAUCCUCAAGCAUCCCGACUUAACUCUCACAAUUUCGCUACUCACAUUGCCUAGAGAGUUAGUCCAUCAACUCCACCUCUAUCUCGAACUUAACUCUCGGCUCGCAACCGCCACUUGCCGGUCUAAUCCAAUCACACCUAUCCACUGGGUAGGCGAUAUCACUAUUACGCAUGCAUACCAGGGGAUUAAUUUUAUCCACAAUCUCUAUCUCAACUAUACUUAUGCAUGCAACAUUUCGAAUCCACCUUAGAUCCGGUCAUACAACCUCUUCCGACGCACCACUCCUGCUACAACACCCCCUGUAGCAGUGGAUUCCAUAACUAGGGUCGCUUGCUCAUAGCCACUUGACGCUCAUCGCGAACCCUCCGAUCGUAUCACCGAUCUUUCAUACUCUCCAGACCAAGCCGCAGGCGGCACACUCAUAAGCGACCUCAAAAACAGAGAUCGACGCCAUCACUAAGGUCCGGCUAUCCACCAACAGUACUCAACCCUUAUUCGGGUCGGUUGCCAACACCAACCACAUCAUCUACCCCGCAACACCCUAUGGCGUCUGGUAGGAACCACCACAACCAACACCUCCCUACAAGGUCAACAAAAGACCUCGGGAAUGAUAUCCACAACUUUCUCCGGGUCGCCAAAAAUUUGAUGGACCACCCGAUCCGUUCAUCAGUCGCGUCACUCAUCACUUCGCAUCCAACCGAUCUGCGCUCCUCUUGGGCACAACAACACCUCAAUUCGCUCCCACACGCACAAAUCCUCCAAAAAGAACUUCCACGGAGUCAUUCCACAUAUGUCCGUCCCGCGGAUAUCAUUCCGUCAAAAUAAGCGGAUCAACUUCCUUAGGAAACCAUCCACCGUUCUCAUGAGCCUCCAAUCCCUCUAUUCCUUGUGCAUUGCAGCCUCCUGCUGACAUUGCACCACAUCGGCUCGUCACUUUGCCACUACGACUAGUACGAUCAAUAGACUUCAGAGCCCCGAGUCUCCACUAUGCUCGGCUAACUCAUGAACAUCACUUGUCCCGGUCCACAACAAUCUCCUCAAAGAUCGGCCACGCGUAACCACCGAAUGCACAACAACUCAACCCUCAAGGUCAAGCACGCGACACCAACACGCAACACUAUCCACGACUCAAAUCCAGGCGAAAGUCAUGCAAGGCAGCCUAUUUUCAUUACUCGGUUUCGUGUUGUGUGCACCCAACACGAACACUCCAUAAUGAAAAUACACUACACCUUGGAUCCACCUCUAACAUCCGUUAUAGAGGCAUACCAAACACGACCCAAUUAGUUAACCUUUCGCCACAAUUUCAAAUCNUUACUCGGUUUCGUGUUGUGUGCACCCAACACGAACACUCCAUAAUGAAAAUACACUACACCUUGGAUCCACCUCUAACAUCCGUUAUAGAGGCAUACCAAACACGACCCAAUUAGUUAACCUUUCGCCACAAUUUCAAAUCCUUGUUACAUUUCAAGAACCUAAAGCCUUAUGGUUUCCAACCUAUGGUCCCUAAGUCCAUCCUAGACUUUUGCUUUCACUUGCUCUGACACCACUAUAUCUGUCACGCCCCGUGUCACGCCCCGCCCUGAAACCACUACCAAUUUGGCACGGCUCGGCCGCGGCGGCGGACCGCCGAACGGACAGCACCUCCCUUGUCCGCCCAAGGCUCAACGACAGGAAUGUGUACAAGAAUUGACACAGGACUUUAAAUUCUAAACAUACACAUUCAACGAGGGCACAAACAGUGCCAACAACAAGAAGAGCAAGUAAUCCACAAGAUAUACGAGUGAAAUAAAGAGAGUACUUUACUAACUAUUACAAUAGUUGCAUUCAUUACAUCAUUUUUUUCACCCAAAAUACAUAGCUCUCCAAAUCCUCACCUACAAUGCAUCUCUCUCUAUACAUAGGGGACUAAUGCAAAAAGGAAAGCUACUAUACUACCACGGUCUCACUGGUCGGGCGCGACGCCCUUGCCGCGGUCCUCUCUCUGCAGCCCUGAACCUACCACUGAAAAUAGAGUGGGGUGAGAACUAUCUUCCAUAGUUCCCAGUGUGCUCGGCCGCCGACUCUGCCGAUCUCCCCACUAGGUCCAAGUGGGCACAAGUAACAACAGAUAGAUAGAUAUGUAUCUGAAAGCUGUAAAUGCGGUAGUAGGAAAACUAUGCUACUAUGCCCAUAAUCAUGAAUAUGAAUGCAUGCAUCAUAUAAUAAAGGUUUGCUACCAUGCUAACAAUUUCGAUCCAUAUUCGAAUAGCAAUGUUCAAUGACAUUCAUAAACCUUUAGCCUUUUUCAUUUACCCAAUCUGUGGCGAGGCCCUAGGGCUCGCCCAUGACUCACCUUCAAAUCCCAAAGUGGGGAGGGAGCUCCAAGUGCACCCAAGCCCGGGACCGUCUGCGGACCUCCAUGUGGUCCGGACCUCCAAGUGGUCCUAGUCGCGCGACACUCCGGAGUACUCGACGACAAUCCCCUCCAUGUGGGGAUUGGAUGGCUAUACCAUCCUAAACGCAGACUGUGAGCUAGAUCUAUCCUCUCCAAGUGAGGAUACACUGUAACUAGGGUCAACACCCAAUCCAAUCCUCUCCAAGUGAGGAGGCUCUACAACUAGAGUCAAUAACCCAAUCGAAUCCUCUCCAAGUGAGGACGCCCUACACUAGGGUCAACGACUAUCGCGGAAUCAUCGGUUCCCGACAUUCAUGCAAUGCUAUUUAGUUUUCUAAAUUCAUUGUUCACAAGGCAUUUUCUAAGGGAUCCACCUAUCCCUAGGUCCAUCGACCUCUAGUGUUAUUUACACUACAUUAAUGCCACUCGUUAUCAUUCAAUGUUUGGAUGCCACUCGUUUGUUCUUUAACAAUAACACUACUUUCUAUGUCAUCAACACCCCCAUCGGGUUCAUCUCUAUCUUUAGCAUCAUAGGAUCCACCUUCCGACCCAAUCCUCACCUAUCUAGUUACCAAGCGUUCCAAGUACACUAGGUCAUCAAUUAGAAAGCAUAAGGAAUGGAGCUACUAUGCAAUCCUACAAUGCAACAUGAAGAGAUGAGAUUAAAUGCAAUCUAAGACAUAGAAAGGAGUUCGAAAGUUUCGGAUGACACCCCCCACCUUUAAUCGAUGUAGAGGUUUCGGAAAUCUCUCUCGGCGAGCUUUACGAAAAGGCUUUAGCCUUCCUCGCCCGAAUCAACACUAGCCUGGCCCGAUUUGCCGAGAACUUCACGUCGGUUCGCCGAAUGCCAAAAUCGACUUCGCCCCCGCGUUUUGGGACCUAUCAAUAGGGUUUCCAAGGCUUCAAAUGAGAUCAAUCUCAUACUUUUACAAAAACCCCAUUUUGAAGCCCUAGAUUUGCACCUAUAGCAAACCACCUAAUAAAUCCCUAGAUCCUUAGGAUUGAUCUAUUUAGAACCUUGCUUAGGUUCCAUUUGACCCAUUCCAAGGCAUAAAACCCAAAAACCCUAAGUUCUAGAAGCUAGGGUUGUAGCUUACCACUUGAGCUACACCAAUGGGAAGAGGAGAGGGAGAGGAAGAUGCUCCUAGCCUCCUUUUUCUUCUCCUCCUUCUUCUUCUUCUCCUCCUUCUUCUUCUUCUCUUUCUUCUUCUCCUUCUUUGUUAUCUCUAGAGAGAGAGAGAGCAAGAGAGCAAGAGAGAGAGUGAAAUGAGAGAGUGUGAGGGAGAGAGAGGGCUCAGCCCACUCAAAUAAAAGCCAUUUUGCACAAAAGCCCCUCAACUUUCACUCCUGCGUACUGCUCUCACUAGGCUAUUUUCGCGCGGAGGGACCGGUCUCCCCGACUUGGGACCGGUCCCCGAGGGCUUCCCUCGGGCGCACGCGUUCGGGAACCGGUCUCUCCUCGGGAGACCGGUCCUCACCUGGGAGACCGGUGCCCGAGAGCUCGAUUUUCAGGACUUAGCCAAUUUUUGGCAUCUCUCGCUGGAACCACGUUCGGGAACCGGUCCCUCCCUGCCAGGGACCGGUUGCAUCACGCAACCCCGCUACACCCAGCCAGGGGAACCGGUCUCUCACCUGCAGAGACCGGUCCCCGAGAGCAAUAUCAGCCCAAUGAUGCAAUUUGCCUCAUUUGCUCUCGCGGACUCAACUCCAAGGCACUUUUUGUGCUUUGAACAUUCCCAACUCCCACAAAGGGUAUACUCUCGACAAUUAGUCGAUCCUGGAUGAAGUACAAUCCUCACAUUUCGAGAAUUCACUUCCUUACACCCCGCGACCGCCAAUUUGGUCGGUUCGGGCACAUCAACAGACGCCGAACGGACAGCACCUCCCCUGUCCGCCCAAGGCUCCUACAGUACAUGUAUAACAUAGCAAUUCAAACAUAAUGAAUGCAAGUAUAUACGGCUUGCACGAGGGCAAGCAACAACCAAACAUAAGUGAGAGCAAUCUAACUAUUACAUUUAUACAUUGUAUCUUGAUCAUUUUCAAUCAAAUACAAAGCUCAUACAUUUCUUUACAUUCAUUCAUCUCAAUUUACAAUUUCACCUCUCAAAGGAACUUAAUACAUUUUCACAUGUCACAUGAAUUUAUUACAUUUACAUUUUACAUUUUACAUAAUCGACAUAAUAGAUGAAAUAUACAAAGGUGCCUCUAUACACAUAAAGGUAGCACACUACCUUGAGCACGAUAACCACGCCACGAGCCCCGAUCGUCCCGCUCGCGCUAGAACCUGCAUGGUUAGUGGGAUGAGAACUAGAAGAAGUUCCCAGUGGGUUCGGCCACCGACUGCGCCGAUUCGCCCACUAGGUCUAUUUCAGGCAUAUGUAUUUCAAUAAGGAAGGAUAACAAACCAACUAAUGCACUUCUAAUACAAUGCCUGCAAGAAAGCAAAUCACAGAUAGAUAUUCAUAUUCAAAUACAUGAUGAUUAUGCAUGCAUGUCCUUUUCACUUUCCUAUGGUCAACUCGGGGUGCUCCUGGUUUACCCCAACACACAGUCCACACACUUUCCUUUGGCCUUUACCCAAUCAACCAUGGGGUGCUCCUGGUUUACCCCAACUCACAGUCCACAUAUCCAUCUAACGGGGGAGGCACAAAGCACUACCACCCGAAGGAUCUUCGCCGGGCAUGUCGACCCGUGGUGUUUUCAUCACUCCGGAGUACACCGCCUGUGGAGGAGCGACCUCCCACAAGCCGGAACCAAUACAUGUGAGUAUGAUCCCCUCCUCAAUUUGAGGAGGUAUAGCCAAACCUGUCUCAAUGCCACAAUGCCGAUGAAAGGUCUUUACCUAUUCAUGCGUAUACUACCAUUUCCCAAUAUCACAAUGGUCCUGAUGCCACAAUAUCGAUGAUAGGUCUUUACCUAAUCAUGUAUGUCACUUUACUAAGCCACAAUAGUCACAAUGCAUAGAAUGGUCUUUACAACUUUAACCAUGAUGCCACAAUACCGAUGAUAGGUCUUUACCUAAUCAUGUAUGUCACUUUACUAAGCCAUAAUGUCCACUAAUGGGAUAGUCAAUAUUUCACAAUGCUUUAAGGUUUUACCUUAUCUAGCACAAUAUGUUCUCGGUGCCAAUCAUGUCACUAGAGUCAAUGUCGCCUUUAUUUACUAUGGAUCAAGUCUUUUCUCACUUUCACAUACAUAUAGGGUUGUUCAUUUUCUCGUUCUCAUGGCUCUACAACAUGUUUGCAAUGUUCAUAAACAGAUAAUUGAUAUAAUCAACAUUUAUCUCAUUACCCUACAUGCAUGAGUACAACAUUAUCAACAUGCUCAAAGAAGCGACAUAGACAUAGAAAGAGAUCCGGUGUUUCCGGAUAGCACCCCCCCACCUUGUAGGAAUGCCGAGAAGCCCCGAUUCCAUUUUCACGAUUUUUAGACACCAACGCCGCGAGCUGCGGCCAUCUGUACCAAUUUAGCUUGUUUCUUCAAUAUCUUCGUACCGGCUCGACGAAUCGACGAACCGAGCGCACCAACGUGUUCGUUGACCUAUCAAUUAGGUUAACAAGAGAUCAAACUUAAGUUAGAUCUCAACUUUACAAAAUUCCAUUUUCUAACCCCUAGGGUUUUCAUCUUUAUGAAAUAACCCCCAAGCACAUGGAAAUCCAUGUCUAAAUUUACCAUAGCUUCAUCUAGAAGCUAGAUCUAAAGAGAAAUACUCAAACCCUAACAUUAAAACCAUAGAACCCUCAAAUCUUAGGUUACUUAUCUUAGAUCCAAGCUUUCUUCCAAGCUAGGUUGCCAUGAGAGGGUUCCUUCAUCACCUAGCAAGCUUUUCUCCACCAUGGUUUCACCAUUGGAGCAUCUCAAGGAGGGAGAGGGAGAGAUCUAGAGAGAGAGAGAGCUCUCAUGUUGGUGUUGGAGAGAAAGAAAUGAGGGCUAAACCUCAUCUCUCCAACAUAUAACCUCAUCCAAACACAAUUGCACAUAACCCGCCACACCCCUCAAUGUUUAACACAAUAACCCAGCCCAAACUGGGCAUUUUCGGGUGCUGGGACCGGUCCCAGGCAGUGAGAGACCGGUCCCCGAAAGGCCAGAAAUUCUGCAUUCCAGACUUAGCCAAAUUUUCAGCAUUUUCAGCCUUCGGGUCCGUUUUUUUCGCUCGUUUUCGCUCGUUUGACCUCCGAUUCGUUUCAAAUCGAACCGAGACUCUCCAAACAUGUUUUCAAACAUGUUUUCAUCAUCUUUUCAUCCAUGCCCUUGCUAGAUUUAGUCCACGGUCCAUCAUAGCCUUUCAGGCUCCGUCUUCGCGCCCUACGUGCAUUGAAGCAACCGAAUGCUUCCGAACUUCACCGUAACCAUUCUAACGGCUUUCCAAGCUAACAUACACCAUAACUUCAUAAUUAUAGAAGUUCGGUAUGUUAUAGAAUGAAUGAAUGUAAUAACUUAGGAUGUGUUUAUGUUGUUUGAUACCUUCGUUAUGCAAUCGUUAUAUGUUGAAUACUGUUCCUGGUUGGAAUCUAUUGUAAUUGUAUUGAUUGCGACGCCUUAGACGUACAGGGGAAACUCUGUCCGUUCGGCGGUCUGUCGGCGUGCCGAACCUGACCAAAUAGGCGGGCUCGGGGCGUGACACAAUACUACUCAAAUUCGAAUUGGGCAUCAUUCUAACCCGAAUUCAGAGCUUCCCCAAGUUGCUCUCAGCUCAAUUCUCUUCUCCUCAGCUGAAAUUCUUUCUCGGCAACUCUACCAGGCCAAAAACAUCAAGUCUGCCAGCUCUAGCAGCAAGAAACACUUAUGUAGAUCAUCUCUAAGUCAAUUAACUUGACUAAAAUCAGAUAUUAACCAAGCUUACCUUAAUUAGAUGCUGUACCAAGUUGCUCUCAGCUUCUUAAACCUUCCUCUCAGCUCAAUUUGUCUGCACUUCUCCACUUUCUUCUUAACCUACUUACUUCUACGGUUGAGAAAGAAAGAAAGAGAGAAUUAGAUAAAGAAGAGAUAAAGAGAUAAUGAUCCCAACAUCUAAGCUGGUGCUGGGUACCUGGGGUUAAAAGAUAAGACCAAAAAAUCGCACUUUAACCCCCCAAAGGACUGAAGUUGCAUUGUAGUCCAGCAGUUCGCAGUUCAGUCCCUGCAGGUUCACAAAUCAGUCCCUGCAGGUUUACAGUUCAGUCCCUGCACUAACAGCAGCUGGCAGCAGCAGUUUUUAGCCCCUUUUGCGCAUCUAAUUUACUUCGAGUCCUUUCAAACACUUCCAAAAUACACUAAUAAACCUCCACAAGCUACUAAUUUAGCUCGGAAGCAACCAAUUCCAUUUUAGCAUUUAUCUUGAUAAUUUCACGCCCGACUUGCAUCAAACACUCAAUUACCUCCAGAAAUUAUUCCCAUACCUCCAAAAUCACUCGGGAAUGAUGCACAUCCAAUUCAAACUUCACUUUCAUCUUCCAAAGCAAAGUUAGCGUCGCAACUCAAAAUUUCAGUACACUACAAGGAUGGACCUAGGAGACCCUAGGUUGGCAACCUUAAGGCUAUAGGUGCGUGAGUGAGACGUGAACCUAUACCGGUGGCGGAAGUUGAUCGAUUGGGUCGAAGUUGAUAGUAUGUCUCUAAUGGUUGAUAGAGACGGAUUCGAGUGGUAUUAUUUCUCGACUCGAAGUGGUUGUGUUGGCGGCCGACAACAUGACGCUAAGAGUCUAGAAUAAUUACACUUGUGUGCUUCCGCCCGAUUUCGAUGUUGAGUUGUUUGUCUCGUAGUUGCAGGAAGUUAACGGGUUAAUGUGAUUCACCAAUUUGUUGCAUUUCAGGAGCUAUGGCACAGAGGGGACGCCCUAAGAUUAGAUCCACUCCGGCACCACCUCCCGAGGUACUGGAGUGGAUCUAGUCUCAGGAGCUAUGAUUACGCUAACUUUGCUCUGGAAGAUCAAAGUUAGCGUCGCAACUCAAAAUUUCAGUACAUUACAAUCUACCCCCGUUAACAAAAGUUUCAUCCGCGAAACUUAGAUACACUUAUAUAUCUCCAUUUAUCUAAUUAACCAGAUGAGAAUAGAUCUCAAUGUUCACCCAUAAUAGAACUAUACAAUUCUGUAAUUUUCUCAUUCUCACAUAUCCAGAGUGCACAAUCAUUCAUUCCAUCUAGUAACUCUGCAGCUCUUACUUUGAUACCCAUGAGGAGUUCUAUUCAACAAUUUGAAAUUCAUUACGCAUUUCCUUACAUACUUCACAUCUAAGGGCAAUUUCCUUAUGCUCACCAUCCCCUAACGAAUGGGGGUUAAUCCAAUCCUUUAGAUUUGGCACCAUAAUCUCAUAAUUUUUGGUAACCAGUUGUAUCAAUUAUCUUAAUAUAAUUACUCAUGCACGUCGAGAAUAUACCUUGUUCUUCCAACUAACUAUUAUAAGUUCUCUAAAUCCCAAUGGCAAUGCAAGUAAACAUUCAAUGACUUACUAUACUCCAGUCUCAUUUACUAUCAAAGACUUAUUUGCCUUGGUUACCACACUAAUUCAAUUCUCGCAUAAGUAAUAUGCUUUAGAAUUAGCAUUCUCCUCAUACAAUCAACAACUACCCGCACCAUCAACUUAACAUGCCCCUGUCAUCAUUCUUAUCAUCAAUAGAUGAUAACCAAUUCAUACCAAUAAGCAUUAUUUUACUUCAAAGAAUAGUACUAUCUGUUUUUCUCACGGUGGGGAUCAUUCCUGCAUGGCGCUUACUCGAAAAGUCCGUAGACUACCUUGAUUCAUAUACAAACUUAUCAGGUAACAUCUACUAUACCCAUUACUCUCUAAUGGAGUCUACUUUGAUUUCUCAACUGGCAUCGCUACCUGCGAUAUCGCAAUACACUGCUCAAUUGUGAGUGUUUAAUCACACACAAAUUUUCACUCCUCGACAAAGGGCUCAUUCUAACAUCUCCACAACUCCAAUGAUUUGAAGGCAUAAUCCUCCAAAAUCUCACGUGGCUUCCACUACACAAUAAUCUCAAAGAAAAUCUUUCACCACGAGUCUCUACGAACACCUCUUUCGUGCCAUUGAUCUUAAUUCUUCAUUAGCGUCUAACUUGGUGAUUCAAAAUAAGCAAACAGUAGGACCGAGCCUUCGCUCCCAAGGUCACUACUCCCGAUUCACAAUACUACAUUAACUCUCGCAUAUCGAGAGCAAUCGGUUAAAUUGCUUAUCUUAAUUAUCAUAAAUCGGUUCACAAACCACCGAUUCGCCGUAGGUCGAUUACCUAACUCAAUCGCGACAUUACAUAACGUCUCUUGCUCGCAAGCAUAGACCCAAUCAUCAUAAGACAAAGUCUCCCUUGAGACCUCGCACACAUACUCCAACUAGGAGCAAUCCAAAUUCCAAACCCCUACUAUUAUAUCGUUGGGUCAAACUUACACCUUCAGUGUAUCACUAACCACACGGUCCAAUAUGUGGCAUACCCCAUCACUGAUCUAAGCUCGGACUACCGUCCUGACCAUAACCUCUGCCCUACCCAUAGGUAUCGGGCUGCUGUCAUACAUAGUGGAUUGCGCCUGGUCAAAUGGCCUCAGGCCCCAAAGUCCACACAUGGUCCAGGUACGGAUCGUCCUCAAGUAAUAUCCUCAAUCGUCGUCGCUCACGAUAUGCUCAACAGAGCAAUCCACAUCACUAUUGGCUCCUAGACACCUAGUGCGAGCCACCAACCCAAUAAGUGAUCCAUGGCACGCUUCACACCUCGCAACGCUCAAGUGCUACUGCCAACACACUCUUGGCCGAUCCACAAUCCACACUCUACGAACGUUUAUACUCAAGCGUCCUAUACUACUACUCCUCUCACUAAACAUCACACGCUUGGCACUCCGCCUACGCCUACACAUACAAACACAAAUUUCCUCAUCCUAGUUAAGGUACAACUUGAUUAACUCGCCCAAAACCAGGCGAUCAUCUAACCAAUCUACAACAAGGACGCUAUCACUCUACUCGAUCUAUCGGAAUACCAUCCGAAUUCUCGAGCUCUAGAGCGUCUUCUAGCGUUCCAAUCUAAUUCUCACUAUCACCCAAAUGCUUUAAAGAGUAGGUUCACCAUUUCCAUCUUCAUCCCGAGCCCCAACAUUGGCUCACAGCAAACCACUCACUUGCACUAUCCAACCGCCUAUUCAAACGAUAGGCGAUACACUUUCUUCAUCUAUGCACGCUAGGGUAUUAUAUCUCCCCAAAUCCAAGUUACACUCUUACAUGUACCGCUCGGAGUUCGCAUCGUUUCCAAGUAUACAAUCUUCCUACUGAAGUCAAUUUACUAUAACUUCACUUAUCCAACAACACACGCGGCCUUGCUGGUGAAAGUUAUCACAACCAUUCCUCUCGAAGAAAAAGGUUAACCAUUAGACCUUUCCGAAUUCUAGGAUGACGACUGCAACUCUCUUCCGGGUAUUGCUUAACACUCGAUUGACCACCCGAACCAAAUAUAAGUCGCUUACCCUUCAUUCUCACUAAUCAAUUCGCACCCCUUCCGCGCGAGAUAUCACCUAACUUCAACCACAAGGUCCAACUCAAUACUUCAUCGAAAAUUGUGAAUUAGGAGAACGUAUAACUUCUUUUAUCAAAGUUUCGAUAUAUCACAACCGGCCUCGUUCCCAAUGUCUCACACUAUAUACUAAGCACACUUCAGCAUGCAGAAAAUCCUUCUACAUACUUUUUCACCGAGCAGUCCCCCUGCUAUAACUCUCACAACUUAUCUGAAAGCUCAUUUGUCGUAUAUUCCAACAGCAAAUUCUAUAUCCUAUCCCAGAUACACAAAUCUUUCUAGGGAAAUAUUCCUGAAGCCAAUCCACAGAUCUCGACCCGCGAAUAUUCCUUUAUCAAAAACAGAUGGACUAAAAUUUUCUGAAGGCCACAAGGGUUAUCCACAAUUGCCCUCAUCUGCUUUCUAUACUGCAAAGCCAGAAGUCGAUUUACCCAAUUUCCAACAAAACGACCUCUAUCAUCACUUCCAGCUACCCACAACAAACCACAAAUGGCGCGGUUAUCAACUACGCCACAGCCUUCUGGUGUCCCCUGACUCAAUUCGCCAAAUACAAUACUGCUUCCCACUAACAUUGCACUACAACUAUUCAUCGCCAAAACCCUACCACGGGUGUGACAAACCGAUCCCAAUGCCUUGAGUUUCCUCCAAGCUCGGUUAACUCAAGGAUUCCACUCAUACCGAACCACAUUGAUCUCAUUAGAGAUCAACUACACAAAACCACUAAACGUGCAACAACGCGACCAAUUCAUGACCUUCAAGGUCAAACACGAAACAACUAUCGUCAACCCAACUCAAAUCAGGUGAAAGUCAUACAAGGGAGCCUAUUCUCAUCACUCGGUCUCAUGUUGUGUGCACCCAACAUGAACACUCCCUGUUAAGAAUACACUUCACCUUGAAUCCACCUCUAAGAUCCUUUUUAGAGGUAUACAACACACGACCCAAUCAGUUCAACAUUUCGCCACAUAUCAAGAUUCUCGUCUCUCACGAACCUAGAUCCUUAAUGGUUUUCCAUCCUAAGGUCCUAGGUCCAUCCAAUACUUUCACUUGCCUUGCUCUGAUACCAUUUAAUCUGUCACGUCCCGAGAACGCCAAUUUGGUCGGGUCGGGUCCGCACACAGACGCCAGACGAACAGAACCUCCUCUGUUCGUCUAAGGUUCAGCAAUAACAAUUAAACAUGUGUAAUGAAAUGCCCGGAAAAAAAUUUCAAUAUACAUGGCUUGCACGAGGGCAAGCAACACAAGCAAGUGUAAGUAAACUAAUUAAAGCAUUCAUACAUUGUAUCUUGAUUACUUUAAAUCAAAUACAAAGCUCACAUAAUUAUUAUAUUCAUUCUUCCAAUACAUACAUUGCCAUCUUUUAAAUGAAUAAUUUACAUUUACUUUCAUCAACUAUAAAUAGAUGAAAUAAAUAAGGUACAACUAUACUCAAUGGAUGUCCACUAUCUAUGGAACGCUGUCCAUACCACGAUCCUCGAUCACCCCGCACGAACUAGAACCUGCAUGGUUAGUGGGGUGAGUACUACUGAAAGUUCCUAGUGGGUUUGGCUGCCGACCUCGCCGACUCACCCACUAGGUUUAUUCAGGCAUAUGUAGGCAAGAAAAGAGAAUAGAUAGUAACCAGUUAUAACAUGUAACUACUACAAUGCCUGCACAAAGCUGAAAGAAACAGUAGACAAUAACUGAAAUUGAUGCAUGCAUGCUACUAAUAACCUUUACCCAAUCCAACUGGUUAACCAUUUGG